GGAGUUUUGUGCUUCUUCUGAGGUGGCAGAUGUAGCCAGGCCAGCGGCUGACCCCCGCAUUGGUGUGCUCCAGCCACUGAGCUGGCUGGCCCCAGCUUGUAAACAGCUUUUUUUUUUUUUUCCCUCUGGGCUAAUCUUGUUCUGUGGGGGCAGAUAACAUCGCUGGAAUUUUUCUGUUGUUCUUUGUAAGCGCCUCCUGCUUUGGACUUUGGCUGAGACGCACACAACUGAGACAUGAGCUUCCUCAAUUGUGUUCUCUUGCUUGCUUCCCUCUGGGCCCACAGCACACCCCGUGUUCUGGCUGCUUCCUGCUCUGCUCACUGCUUCCCACUUCCAGCCUAGGGAAGGUGGCAGGGAGGUGACCCUGGCACAACAAGGUGCCUCCCUGGGCUCACUCCUGCUUUGCUCCUGUGUGCUCUUGGGGUCUGCCUGCAGUGGGGACCAUCAGCACUGCACACCCCAGCUUGGAAAUACCAGCGGUGGGGCUGGGGCCAGGCUGCUGGGCCAGAGCAGGGGGCAGCAGGUCUGGCUUCUUCUCACUGAUGCCUGCAGAGCAAGUGUGGGGCUCAGCAAUGUCCUGCUCAGCAUCCCAGGCUCUUUGCCCUACAGCUUUGCCCUUCUCUGCUCUCUACUGCACUUGUGCCGUUGUUUUGGGUUCAGACCUGUUCCAUGGUGGGUGCUGACUGCACCAGCAGAGUCAGCCCCAGUACUGCUGGUGCAGUGCCCGGCCCCCAGCCAUCCAGCUGCCUCUCCCCACCCUGCCAAGAUUCCACUUAUCCCUCUUAACCCCAUGGAGAGCUCCUUUGUGCGGUCUGCUUUGGCAGCCAGAACAGAACCCAGCCACCCAGGUGCAGCCUGGACCUGGCUCACGGCUGCUGGGAGCUGCUGGGAGCUGCUGGGAGCUGCUGGGAGCUGCUGGGAGCUGCUGGGAGCCUGCCAGACCGGUUUACCAGCACAGCCUCCAACGUGGUAUGGGACGUGCCAUGCACGUCACCGGCUCCUGCCCCAGCUGCACGUGUCCCCACUCACCUCCUCCCCG
rnacentral:lncRNA from 1 species